rnacentral:lncRNA from 10 species
CAAAGUGCUGGGAUUACAGGCGAGAGCCACCACCCCCAGCCGCAUCUUUCAAAAUUUGUUAUGUAUAUUUAACAAACAUUUAAAGAGCACUGAGAUGUGCUGGGUACUGUCAUUUGUACAUGAAUAAGUUGUUAACCAAUGUGAUAAUCUUUUUUUGUAAAAACUCACUUUGUGAAGACUGGAGAGCUUCAUGGGUAAGAGUUCCAAUAAAGUACAUUACUGGUAGCAGGCAUCAGUACAAAGCAUCAACAACCUGUUAGUUUUAUGGCAGUAUAUUAAACUAUAGACAGCUAUGAAAAAUACAAAAUAUUAAAAAUUAAAGUAGAAGAAAACAUCAAAUUAGUGAUCCACUAAAUAGCUAGUGAUGCAUUUACUCUGCCACUAAUCAGCUGACUGGCUUUGGGCCAAUUUCUCUAAGCCAGUUUCUUACCUAUAUUCUUACCUAUGAAGAAGUUAAAUAAGAUCAACAUGCCACUUUAAUUUUUGUGUAGAAGUAAAUUUUAUUCGCUUCUCAGACCUCUAAGAACUACCUAAUGGUCAAAGUUUUUGGCAAACUGGAAAAUUACUUUUUGUGAUCUAAAAGAUAAAAUCUAGCUUAGAUAACUUGAAUAAUUAAUUUGAUUCACGUAUCUUACACAAAAUAUUUGAUAUAUCUGAGGAAUGGCUGGAGUUGCUAUGAAAUAAAAUAAUUUUAAGUUAACGUGUUAAAUUAUACAAGUUAACAUUACCAGAAUAAUUCAAGAAAAGUGGAACUUAGUAUGCUUUACAUCUUGGAGAUCACAAUGAUGAACAGGUACUGAACAGGAACACUGAAUUAUAGAUGUUACCAAAAAAAAUCAUGUUUCUAACUAGAAUUUAAAAUCACACUGGGCCGGGCGCGGUGGCUGAUGCCUGUAAUCCCAGCACUUUGGGAGGCUGAGGCAGGCAGAUCACAAGGUCAGGAGUUCAAGACCAACGUGGCCAACAUGGUGAAACCCCAUCUCUACUAAAAAUACAAAAAUUAGCCAGGCGUGAUGGCCCACGCCUGUAGUCCCAGCUACUCAGGAGACCAAGGCAGGAGAAUCGCUUGAACCCGGGCGGCAGAGGUUGUGGUGAGCUGAGAUCGUACCACUGCACUCCAGCCUGGGCAACAGAGCAAGACUGUCUCAAACAACAACAACAAAAAUCACACUGAAAAAAAAAGCUGCUUCAGCUAAUCAGAUUGUAUUUUUUAUUCUUAAAAACAAAAUUAUAAUUUGCCUUUGAAAGUUUAAAAAACAGAAACAGGCAGAGUACAGUGACUCAUGCCUGUAAUUCCAGCACGGCAGGAGGCUCAGGCAGGCAGAUCACUUGAGGUCAGGAGUUCGAGACCAGCCUGGUCAACAUGGCAAAACCCCAUCUCUACUGAAAAAAAAAAAAUCAGCCGGGCAUGGUGGUGCACUCCUGUAGUCCCAGCUACUCAGGAGGCUGAAGCAGGAGAAUCACUUGAAACUGGGAGGGAGAGGUUGCAGUGAGCACUCAAGCCUGGGCAAGAGUAAGACUACGUCUCAAAAAUAGAAAAAAACAGUAUAGAACCUUUAUACCCCCCCCCAUCAACAAAUAUUAGUCUGUAUUUUUUCAUUUUGUUUAAGAUAUAUUUUCUCAUAGCUGAGUUUUUAAUUGGUAGUUACUUUAGCUAUGUAUUCCAGAUGAUAUAUUUUGAUUCUUUCAGCUAUUCUUAAAAAAUAAAACCAGUGAUUUUACAUUUGCUACAAAGUGAAGUUUUAAAUGAUAGCAAAUAUCAAGAAUCAACAUUUGUUAAACUACAAAACAAAAAGACCUGGAGGAAACUAGUAAAAUGUUCUGCUUUAAGAAAGCCAAUAGGGCCGGGCGUGGUGGCUCACGUCUGUAAUCCAGCACUUUGGGAGGUUGAGGCGGGUGGAUCACCUGAGGUCGGGAGUUCAAGACCAGCCUGACCAAAAAAAAAAAAAAAAAAACUAAUUUAGCCAGGUGUGGUAGCUCACACCUAUAAUCCCAGCACUUUGAGAGGCUCAGAUAGGAGAACUGCUUGAACCCAGGUGUUCAAGACCAACCUGGGCCACAUAAAACAUUAAAAAAAUUAGCUGGGCAUGGUACCACACGUGCCUGUAGUAACAGCUUCUUGGGAGGCUGAGGUGGGAGGACUGCCUGUGCCUGAGGAGGUGGAGGCUGCAGUGAGGCAUGAUGGCCCCACUACACUCCAGCCUGGGCUGCAGAGUGAGACCCGGUCUUAAAAAGCGAAUUUACUCCACUUGAAUGAGUUAAUUUCUCUUAGGUUCUACCAUAAUGGUUCUUUUGUUUGUUUGUUUUUGUUUUUGAGACGGAGUCUCGCUCUGUGGCCCAGGCUGGAGUUCAGCGGCGCAGUCUCGG